CACAAAGGAGAGUUGAAGUAAUUCCAAGAAAUGAUGGAGACUUGGGCUUGAACAAUGACAGUGGGGAAAAGAAGGAAAUGAAUUCUGACGCUGAUGUGGUUGUUCAUCUGACAGCAUUGAAUGGUCUGAAGUCCUCCAUUUCUGGUCAGCUGGAGAGGACCGCUCUCCACUCUGAGGCCAUUCUCCAGCUCUCAUCCUGUGUCUGUUGCUCACAAGAUUGCUGUCUGUUUCGUUCCCAGCUAACCAACCACAUUUCUCUGGCUUCCUUUUCUGAAACCAAUCAGGAAAACCAAAAACCAAAAAGACAAAACAACAAAAACAAUAAACACUCUGCUUUUUUUA